rnacentral:rRNA from 1 species
CAGUAGCCACGGUAAUACGGAGGGUGCAAGCGUUAAUCGGAAUUACUGGGCGUAAAGCGUGCGUAGGCGGUUCGUUAAGUCUGUUGUGAAAUCCCCGGGCUCAACCUGGGAAUGGCAGUGGAUACUGGCAAGCUAGAGUGUGUCAGAGGAUGGUGGAAUUCCCGGUGUAGCGGUGAAAUGCGUAGAGAUCGGGAGGAACAUCAGUGGCGAAGGCGGCCAUCUGGGACAACACUGACGCUGAGGCACGAAAGCGUGGGGAGCAAACAGGAUUAGAUACCCCCGUAGUCCCUGUCUCUUAUAC